GAUGAACGCUGGCGGCGUGCUUAACACAUGCAAGUCGAACGGAAAGGCCCAAGCUUGCUUGGGUACUCGAGUGGCGAACGGGUGAGUAACACGUGGGUGAUCUGCCCUGCACUUCGGGAUAAGCCUGGGAAACUGGGUCUAAUACCGGAUAGGACGAUGGUUUGGAUGCCAUUGUGGAAAGUUUUUUCGGGGUGGGAUGAGCUCGCGGCCUAUCAGCUUGUUGGUGGGGUAAUGGCCUACCAAGGCGUCGACGGGUAGCCGGCCUGAGAGGGUGUACGGCCACAUUGGGACUGAGAUACGGCCCAGACUCCUACGGGAGGCAGCAGUGGGGAAUAUUGCACAAUGGGCGCAAGCCUGAUGCAGCGACGCCGCGUGGGGGAUGACGGCCUUCGGGUUGUAAACUCCUUUCGCUAGGGACGAAGCGUUUUUGUGACGGUACCUGGAGAAGAAGCACCGGCUAACUACGUG
rnacentral:rRNA from 1 species